UUAUAGGACUGGUGGACAUUUUGGGCCUGAUCUGGUAAUUGCCUCUCCUUUCCUGGGUGAAGAUUUGAUUUAAGAUUCAUUUGGGAAUGACAUGGUUAGUUUGCGUCAUCUUAGGCUGUAAUGCUAAAAUAGAAACUGGAUAGGCAACAGUUGACUCACUAUGAUAAACUCCUUGUCACUUAAUGCUACUGGCUUCAAGGAUGGGUUUAAUCAAUAAUUUUAUAAGUGCGGACAGAUGCUGGUAUGGUGAAAUGAAGCUUCUACUCACUGGAAGAUCAACUUCUAAUCCUAAUGGCUAUGAGCCAGAAUCCAUUCCAGGGGCCACUUCUGAGAGUUGCUUCCACCAUGUGAGCUUGGAAUGACAAGGUCAAAGGCUGACAUCAGAUGUCUUCUUGAUCUCUCUUCACUUACUGAAGUAGCUGCGCACUUCUCUGGGAAUCUAAACUAGUCUACUGUCUGUCAUGACUUCUCAGCCCUUGGGCUAAGUUAUCUGGAUACCCUGACAGAGCUCCUGGGCAGCUUCCUUCUUGACUCUCAGAAUACCUCCUGGGAUAGGAUGACCUCCUCCCCUUCUGAGCAUGUGGCAUGUGACAGGCUCGUCAUAAAAUGCACUAAAUGAAUGGACAGAUGCCAUGUCUUUUAAAGGUAUUUAUAAACCACAUGCUGCUUGAGGAUUGGCCAAGAAAAGGUAAACAACAGAGUAGUUGAAUGUGGAUUUGAUUUUGAUUUUGAGGGUUGCGGCUGAACACAGAGAGAAGCUGAAAGAUAAAAUAUCAGAUGUAGAAAAUGCUAACUUUUAAAUGUUUUAAAAUUUUAAAAUCUUAUCCAUUUUUUUUUUCCACAGAGACAAGAAAAAAAAAAGUGUUGUUCUCAGAGAACCACGCUGUUUAUCUUGUCUCCGGGGCAACGGAGACAAUACUCAUUCAGAGAGAAGGAGAGAAAUGGAGACAGUCAUACAGAAUGGCUCCUGAGUUCCGACUAAGUCACUUAACACAUAAAACAAAUUCGGUUUUCCUAAACAGAAGAGUAGCUACCAAAGCCAAAACCAAAGGGAAUUAAGUUGUUUAUCUGAUUGAAACUGAUCAUGUUGGAGGCUGAGAAGAUGGUGCAAUUGAGGAUUUCUGUGAGCGUUCAACCCUGUUGAUGCUUGCUGCAUGGAGACUUAUCCAGUAAGAAUUGUGUGCAAGAACCAUCUCCCAGCUGGGCAGUGGUGGUGCACACCUUUAAUCCUGCACUCGGGAGGCAGAGGCAGGCAGAUCUCUGAGUUGGAGGCCAGCCUGGUCUACAGAUUGGAUAAAGAUCAAGGCUCUCUUGAUUUAGGAUUACAGGAUCAAGCGACAAGACAAGGCCUGUUCAGCCAUCAGAAGCUUUCCAGCGACACUGCGAGGACCACCUGGGGAAGGGUGCCAUGUCAGUAUCAAUAGCUCUAGAAGAUUCUGUGGAGCAAGGAGCUCCUUCCUGUCUGUGAAUGUCUGCUCAGGCUACCAACUGUGGAGUGGCUGUUACAUCAGGUGUUGUUCUGAACACUUGGGUACAGCAAGAGUGAAACUAUGGCCAAUCCCUGUGUUUAUGGAGCUUACAUGAGGGCUGACUGCUGAACUACAAAUACCAUGCUUAGCUUCUAAAGCUGCAGGCUGGAAAAGCCACACCACGAAACGUUGGCAGAGGUCAGGCUUGUUUUGAGCCCUGGAAGCCCUGAGCACCUGGCUGAGGUCCCAGGAACCUAC
ensembl:lncRNA